GACGAAGGAUGCAAGCGUUAUCCGGAUUCAUUGGGUUUAAAGGGUGCGUAGGCGGACUUGUAAGUCAGUGGUGAAAUCUCUUUGCUUAACAAAGAAACUGCCAUUGAUACUGCAGGUCUAGAGUAUAGAUGACGUUGGCGGAAUAUGACAUGUAGUGGUGAAAUACUUAGAUAUGUCAUAGAACACCGAUUGCGAAGGCAGCUAACGAAACUAUAACUGACGCUGAGGCACGAAAGUGCGGGGAUCAAAC
rnacentral:rRNA from 1 species